UGCUGACGAGUGGCGGACGGGUGAGUAAUGUCUGGGAACUGCCCGAUGGAGGGGGAUAACUACUGGAAACGGUAGCUAAUACCGCAUAACGUCUUCGGACCAAAGAGGGGGACCUUCGGGCCUCUUGCCAUCGGAUGUGCCCAGAUGGGAUUAGCUAGUAGGUGGGGUAACGGCUCACCUAGGCGACGAUCCCUAGCUGGUCUGAGAGGAUGACCAGCCACACUGGAACUGAGACACGGUCCAGACUCCUACGGGAGGCAGCAGUGGGGAAUAUUGCACAAUGGGCGCAAGCCUGAUGCAGCCAUGCCGCGUGUAUGAAGAAGGCCUUCGGGUUGUAAAGUACUUUCAGCGGGGAGGAAGGGAGUGAGGUUAAUAACCUCAUUCAUUGACGUUACCCGCACAAGAAGCACCGGCUAACUCCGUGCCAGCAGCCGCGGUAAUACGGGGGGUGCAAGCGUUAAUCGGAAUUACUGGGCGUAUAGCGCACGCAGGCGGUCUGUCAAGUCGGAUGUGAAAUCCCCGGGCUCAACCUGGGAACUGCAUUCGAAACUGGCAGGCUUGAGUCUCGUAGAGGGGGGUAGAAUUCCAGGUGUAGCGGUGAAAUGCGUAGAUAUCUGGAGGAAUAUCGGUGGCGUAGGCGGCCGCCUGCACGAAGACUGACGCUCACGUGCGAGAGCGUGGGGAGCAAACAGGAUUAGAU
rnacentral:rRNA from 1 species